UACGGGGGGGGCAAGCGUUGUUCGGAAUUACUGGGCGUAAAGGGCUCGUAGGUGGCCAACUAAGUCAGACGUGAAAUCCCUCAGCUUAACUGGGGAACUGCGUCUGAUACUGGAUGGCUUGAGUUUGGGAGAGGGAUGCGGAAUUCCAGGUGUAGCGGUGAAAUGCGUAGAUAUCGGGAGGAACACCAGUGGCGAAGGCGACUACCUGGCCUGUUCUUGACGCUGAGGCGCGAAAGCUAGGGGAGCAAACAGG
rnacentral:rRNA from 1 species